rnacentral:rRNA from 1 species
GACGAACGCUGGCGGCGUGCUUAACACAUGCAAGUCGAACGGAAAGGCCUGCUUUCCCUUGUGGAUUGCGGGUACUCGUGUGGCGAACGGGUGAGUAACACGUGAGUGAUCUGCCCCCAACUUGGGUAUAAGCCUGGGAAACUGGGUCUAAUUCCCGAUAGGACUGCAGGGUGGUGCCUGUGGUGGAAAACGAUUUUCUAGUGGUUGGGGAUGAGCUCGCGGCCUAUCAGCUUGUUGGUGGGGUAAUGGCCUACCAAGGCGGCGACGGGUAGCCGGCCUGAGAGGGUGGACGGCCACAUUGGGACUGAGAUACGGCCCAGACUCCUACGGGAGGCAGCAGUGGGGAAUAUUGCACAAUGGGCGGAAGCCUGAUGCAGCGACGCCGCGUGGGGGAUGACGGCCUUCGGGUUGUAAACUCCUUUCGACCGCGAGGAAGCCACCUGGUUGGAAGGGUGGUGACGGUAGUGGUAGAAGAAGCACCGGCUAACUACGUG